rnacentral:rRNA from 1 species
GAGCGACCGGGAUAGAUACCCCGGUAGUCCUAGCCGUAAACGAUGGGCACUUGGUGUAGGGGGUAUUGAGUCCCUCGGUGCCGGAGUUAACACGUUAAGUGCCCCGCCUGGGGAGUACGGUCGCAAGACUGAAACUCAAAGGAAUUGACGGGGGCCCGCACAAGCGGUGGAGCAUGUGGUUCAAUUCGACGCAACGCGAAGAACCUUACCGGGGCUCGAACGGUAACUGCUACUCUUGGAAACAAGGGAUUCUCUUCGGAGACGGUUAUCGAGGUGCUGCAUGGCUGUCGUCAGCUCGUGUCGUGAGAUGUUGGGUUAAGUCCCGCAACGAGCGCAACCCUUGCCCUUAGUUGCCAUCAGGUUAUGCUGGGCACCCUAAGGGAACUGUCGGCGAAAAGCCGGAGGAAGGUGGGGAUGACGUCAAGUCCUCAUGGCCCUUACGUCCCGGGCUACACACGUGCUACAAUGGUCGGUACAAAGGGUCGCCAACCCGCGAGGGGGAGCUAAUCCCAAAAAGCCGAUCUCAGUUCGGAUUGCAGUCUGCAACUCGACUGCAUGAAGGUGGAAUCGCUAGUAAUUGCAGAUCAGCAUGCUGCGGUGAAUACGUUCCCGGGCCUUGUACACACCGCCCGU